GCGAUCUUACUCGAAUAGGAUCUGUUCUAUAGAGUUGUACCUCUGUAUCCUUGAUUUCUAAGACAAGAACCUUGUCUGGAAGAUGAACCAUGGCCUGCCCGGUCAGGGCGUAAUUAUCAGCUACCAUCGGCUGCGAUGACUCAAGCCGAUGGUCCUUCAAAUGAUCGUUCUUGGCUAGACCUCGAUUCGGUUUGGAUGGCCGGGCUGCUAUCUGACAGAUC